rnacentral:snoRNA from 1 species
UCACCGGGAUCAUAGGGGUGGGACUUUAGUCCCGGUUGGUAUUACCAACCGGGACUAAAGUUAUGAUCUUUAGUCCCGGUUGGUGUUACCAACCGGGACUAAAGAUCCCGGGGGGGCCUGA